UCAACAACUUUAACUCCAUGUCUAUAUUAAUACGAUAAAUAUAUAUAAAUUAGAUAUGUCAAAUGUAGAUUGAAAUUAAUUAUGAUUUGUGAGAUUCACUAAUCGCAGCGCUAAUAUCUUUGUCUUCAUCCAUUAUAUUUUUUAGUGUGUCUCUUCCGUACAUAUUACCCACAAGAUCCCAAUAUAUGCUAUAUAUCAUAGUUUAUAUUAGUGUUAAAUAAAUACAAUGUAACUAAUAAGUUAGAAUUAGAUUUUUUUACGUCGAUUUAUUCAGCAUCACCCAAUCUCUAACUAUUGAAUACCUCUCCAUAGAAUAGUCCUCCAGAGGAUAACCUAAAGAUUUUAUCUUUCUAUUAUACUUCUCUUUUGUGGACAUUUCAGGUUGAGUUUGUUCAGGUCUUGCUUUCUUACCACGAAUUUUAUUGCUAGAGCCAGAAGUAUCUUCCUGUAAACAACCAACAAUAGCUUCAAUAUCAGACAUUCUAUUCAACAUGUUGUUGUUUUGUUCAUCAAUGUAAGAUCUCAUCGAAGUUAAACUAUUGUCCACAUAAGAUUCCAUGUGAGAUUGCAUUCUCUAAUAGUGAUAAUUCCUGCCAUUUUGGUUGUUGCUGAAAAAAUUCUUUCUGAUUAUCAAGAAUUGCUUGAUAAUUAGUUUCUUGUCUUCUUGAUUGUUCAGCCGUGUGUGUACCAAAAAAUCCUAGCAGAAAGCUUGAGUCCACAUAUGAUACAGAUUGCAUGCCAAAUUGGUAGGCAGAGUGCAGCUCUUGAUAUUGAUAUUCGUGCCAUUUUUGCUUUUUUCAAACAUUUGCCUCUGGUUUUCAAGAUAUUCAGUUUGUUGUUUUCUUGAUUCUUCAACCAUGUGUGCCUUCAAGUUAUCGUAUAGACCAGAUACAUACUGCCUAUGUGUACUGAACAUCUCUUCCAUCUGUUCUUUUGUUACAUAGUUACAGUCAACAGAAGCAUAAUUAGGCUCCACUCCAACUGGAGUGUAUGUUCUAGAAGUAUAGCAU
rnacentral:lncRNA from 1 species